rnacentral:rRNA from 1 species
UACAGGGGGUGCAACCGUUGCUCGGAAUCAUUGGGCGUAAAGCGCACGUAGGCGGUCUGUUAUGUCGGAUGUGAAAGCCCUUGGCUCAACUGAGGAAGUGCAUCCGAAACUGGCAGGCUAGAGUACUAAAGAGGAUCGCGGAAUUCCCGGUGUAGAGGUGAAAUUCGUAGAUAUCGGGAGGAACACCGGUGGCGAAGGCGGCGGUCUGGGCCGAUACUGACGCUGUAGAGCGAAAGCGUGGGGAGCGAACAGG